rnacentral:misc_RNA from 1 species
AGUCGUAACAAGGUUUCCGUAGGUGAACCUGCGGAAGGAUCAUUAACACUUUUUAAUACCUUUUCAAACAAAAAAAGGGAAGGGGAGCCGUAAGGCUUUCCCUUUUCUUUUUUUCAACCCAAGUGAAUCUGUUAAAGUUUCUGUUCUUAUUGAACUACAAAUUUAACUUUUUUUAUAAAAUCUUUGUAAAACAAUUUCUCUUUUUCUUUUGUAUUAUUACACAGAAAAAUUGAAAUAAACAACAAAAAUAAACCUAUGACAACUUACAACAAUGGAUGUCUAGGCUCUC